rnacentral:lncRNA from 1 species
AACAAAACUAAUCCCAAUCUGAUGAUGAACAAACAACAGAAGACUAUUAUUGCUCCUCAACAUGAACUACAUGAGCUCGUACGUGCACUUCAUAUACAAUAGGUCCAAGGCAUACCCGGAUUUCAAAACAAAAGCAAAAAUGGAAAUUUAGCAGUAGGAUCAGCCCCAACAACAAAAUCAACCCAGAAAUAACCAACGAGAACAGUUUUGCAGCCAAAUUCAAACCAGCAUAAAGAUGAAAUGAUAUCCAACAACCAAAAUGCAGCCAAAACUUGAACGAAAACACUUGAAAACCAACAAGUUCUAUUAGACUUAUAAUUAUCCAGGAAUUGUUUUAGAAAUCAAAACCUCAAAAAGCUCAGAAAAUCUUUUGUGGAACAGUAAAACUCUGUAUUUUUAGCUGCCUGUAUUUUCUGUGGUUUUUAGCUCUCUCAAACC